rnacentral:rRNA from 1 species
CACCCUUGUAGUACUGGGACUCUAACCAUAGGCCAUGAAUCUGGUCUUGGGACACUGUCAGGUGGGCAGUUUGACUGGGGCGGUCGCCUCCCAAAAGGUAACAGAGGCGCUCAAAGGUUCUCUCAGUACGGUCGGAAAUCGUACGUAGAGUGUAAAGGCAAAAGAGAGCUUGAUUGCAAGACAUACAGGUCGAGCAAGGAUGAAA